rnacentral:rRNA from 1 species
GACCCGUUAUCCGGGUUGCGGACAGUGUCUGGUGGGUAGUUUGACUGGGGCGGUCUCCUCCUAAAGAGUAACGGAGGAGCACGAAGGUUGGCUAAUCCUGGUCGGACAUCAGGAGGUUAGUGCAAUGGCAUAAGCCAGCUUGACUGCGAGCGUGACGGCGCGAGCAGGUGCGAAAGCAGGUCAUAGUGAUCCGGUGGUUCUGAAUGGAAGGGCCAUCGCUCAACGGAUAAAAGGUACUCCGGGGAUAACAGGCUGAUACCGCCCAAGAGUUCAUAUCGACGGCGGUGUUUGGCACCUCGAUGUCGGCUCAUCACAUCCUGGGGCUGAAGUAGGUCCCAAGGGUAUGGCUGUUCGCCAUUUAAAGUGGUACGCGAGCUGGGUUUAGAACGUCGUGAGACAGUUCGGUCCCUAUCUGCCGUGGGCGCUGGAGAACUGAGGGGGGCUGCUCCUAGUACGAGAGGACCGGAGUGGACGCAUCACUGGUGUUCGGGUUGUCAUGCCAAUGGCACUGCCCGGUAGCUAAAUGCGGAAGAGAUAAGUGCUGAAAGCAUCUAAGCACGAAACUUGCCCCGAGAUGAGUUCUCCCUGACUCCUUGAGAGUCCUGAAGGAACGUUGAAGACGACGACGUUGAUAGGCCGGGUGUGUAAGCGCAGCGAUGCGUUGAGCUAACCGGUACUAAUGAACCGUGAGGCUUAACCUU